UCCCCCAAUUAACUCACAGGUCAAGGCAGUC
rnacentral:piRNA from 1 species